AGCAGCCGCGGUAAUUCCAGCUCCAAUAGCGUAUAUUAAAGUUGCUACAGUUAAAAAAGCUCGUAGUUGAAUUUCGGGAUCAAUAUGUUGGUCGUGCCUCGGUACGUACUAGCUUAUUGGUUUCUUCCUUCUGACGAACCAUAAUGUCAUUUAUUUGGUGUUAUGGGGAAUCAGGACUGUUACUUUGAAAAAAUUAGAGUGUUUAAAGCAGGCUCACGCUUGAAUACAUUAGCAUGGAAUAAUGAAAUAGGACGUUUGAUUCUAUUUUGUUGGUUUCUAGGAUCGACGUAAUGAUUAAUAGGGAUAGUUGGGGGCAUUAGUAUUCAAUUGUCAGAGGUGAAAUUCUUGGAUUUAUUGAAGACUAACUACUGCGAAAGCAUUUGCCAAGGAUGUUUUCAUUAAUCAAGAACGAAAGUUAGGGGAUCGAAGACGAUCAGAUACCGUCGUAGUCUUAACCAUAAACUAUGCCG
rnacentral:rRNA from 1 species